rnacentral:rRNA from 1 species
GACGAGUCUCACGAACGUUAUUCGGAAGUUACUGGGCUUAAAGGGUGCGUAGGCGGUGGAGUAAGUCGGAUGUGAAAUACCUUAGCUUAACUAGGGAACUGCACUCGAUACUACUUUGCUAGAGUAAGACAGAGGUGAGUGGAACUGAGGGUGGAGCGGUGAAAUGCGUUGAUAUCCUCAGGAACACCGGUGGCGAAGGCGACUCACUGGGUCUUUACUGACGCUGAGGCGGCGAAAAGCGUGGG